UACAGAGGGUGCAAGCGUUGUUCGGAAUUAUUGGGCGUAAAGGGCGCGUAGGCGGUUCGAUAAGUCAGCUGUGAAAACCAUGGGCUUAACUCAUGGCCUGCAGUUUGAGACUGUCGGGGCUGGAGUGUGGGAGAGGAGAGUGGAAUUCCUGGUGUAGCGGUGAAAUGCGUAGAUAUCAGGAGGAACACCCGGUGGCGAAGGCGGGCUCUCUGGGACCACA
rnacentral:rRNA from 1 species